rnacentral:pre_miRNA from 1 species
UUAAAUUUUUGAUUUUUCGUUUUAUUUAAAAUUUUUUAUAAUUAAUAUUCUUAUUAUUAUUACAUGAUAAAAUAUGAAUAGUACUUUGCAUGUGACUAAUUUUUUUAAUUUUUUAAUAAAUUUUUCAAAUAAGACGGAUGGUUAAACGAUUUAUAGACAAAACUCAGG